UACGGAGGGGGCUAGCGUUGUUCGGAAUUACUGGGCGUAAAGCGCACGUAGGCGGCUUUGUAAGUUAGAGGUGAGAGCCCGGAGCUCAACUCCGGAAUUGCCUUUAAGACUGCAUCGCUAGAAUUGUGGAGAGGUGAGUGGAAUUCCGAGUGUAGAGGUGAAAUUCGUAGAUAUUCGGAAGAACACCAGUGGCGAAGGCGACUGACUGGACAAGUAUUGACGCUGAGGUGCGAAAGCGUGGGGAGCAAACAGG
rnacentral:rRNA from 1 species